rnacentral:rRNA from 1 species
AUGCACACGUACUUAGUCGUUCCCAAUAUUUUGGAACAGCGGAGGACCCAACAAUUUUGCACACUUAUAGCCAGGAUUCGGGAACGAGAAGUGUUUCCCUGUGUGUACCUGAUUGGCAAAUCCCCAAAACAGGACGGAGAUGACAACGCUGCCCCAGAGCUCCGCCAUGACGUAGAAGAGGCAGAAACUCCAGACGCGGAGGAUGGCGACGGGCCCCAUGAAGCUGGGGCCGAGCGACGCGAGGAGGCGGUCGGCGAGCGCCGUGGGGUGGAUGGCGUCGCGCAUAGGGUAGAGCACGUAUCCGAAGACGCCGAAGAAGGCGAUGAAGGGGAAGAUGACGGUGUAGAAGAGCGCCUCCUUGGAGAGCACGUCGGCGAGCUUGGAGUAGAGAAGCAUGAAGCCGAUGGCCAUGGGGAGGUUGACCCACGUCUUGAGGAAGGGGAUGAUCUCGGCGCUGCUCCCCUUGGCGGUGACGACGAGCACGUCCUUGGUGUCCCUCAGGAUGGUGUAGUUGAAGAGGAUGCAGAAGAACAUGAGCCCCAGGGGCACGAUCUUCUUGAGCGUGAGUGCGUCCACGCCGAGGAACUUGCGGGAAUUGUCCGGCGCAUCGCCGGGCGCCGGCGCGGGGGAGGCGACGGAGGCGGCGCGGGGAGGCCUGAGGCAGGGGCGGAGCGGGAGCGCGGCGGGCUGGCGGAGAGGGGUCGGGGUGGUGGGGAGGCGGAGGGGCGUGGCCGCGAGGCGGCGGUGGCGGAGGAGGUGGGCAUGGGCCGCGAAGGGGAGGGCCGGGAGGCGAAGGCGGUGGCUUGCGACGAGGCCGGACUCCAUGGGGGCGGAGAAGGUGGAAAAUUCCCGGGAUGGAGGAUGGAGGAGAUAAGGGUGAGGGGCUCGGGCAAAGCAGGGGUUUGGACAGGGGAGGGUUCUUUCUUAUACCACUCCUCUGAUGCCCCGCGGCCACCGCUGGCGAGAGAUUAG